rnacentral:rRNA from 1 species
GCAAGUCGAGCGGAAACGAGAAGUAGCUUGCUACUUCGGCGUCGAGCGGCGGACGGGUGAGUAACGCGUAGGAAUCUACCUAGUAGUGGGGGAUAGCCAUUGGAAACGAUGAUUAAUACCGCAUACGCCCCACGGGGGAAAGGAGGGGACUCAUUUAUGAGCCUUUCGCUAUUAGAUGAGCCUGCGUAAGAUUAGCUAGAUGGUGGGGUAAAGGCCUACCAUGGCGACGAUCUUUAGCUGGUUUGAGAGGAUGAUC